rnacentral:rRNA from 1 species
AACGCGAAGAACCUUACCUGGUCUUGACAUCCACGGAAGUUUUCAGAGAUGAGAAUGUGCCUUCGGGAACCGUGAGACAGGUGCUGCAUGGCUGUCGUCAGCUCGUGUUGUGAAAUGUUGGGUUAAGUCCCGCAACGAGCGCAACCCUUAUCCUUUGUUGCCAGCGGUCCGGCAGGGAACUCAAAGGAGACUGCCAGUGAUAAACUGGAGGAAGGUGGGGAUGACGUCAAGUCAUCAUGGCCCUUACGACCAGGGCUACACACGUGCUACAAUGGCGCAUACAAAGAGAAGCGACCUCGCGAGAGCAAGCGGACCUCAUAAAGUGCGUCGUAGUCCGGAUUGGAGUCUGCAACUCGACUCCAUGAAGUCGGAAUCGCUAGUAAUCGUGGAUCAGAAUGCCACGGUGAAUACGUUCCCGGGUCUUGUACACACGC